CAGCCCUAAACGAUGCGCGUUAGGUGUAUCGGUGACCACGAGUCACCGAGGUGCCGAGGGGAAACCGUGAAACGUGCCGCCUGGGAAGUACGGUCGCAAGGCUGAAACUUAAAGGAAUUGGCGGGGGGAGCACCACAACGGGUGGAGCCUGCGGUUUAAUUGGACUCAACGCCGGGAAGCUCACCGGAUAAGACAGCGGAAUGAUUGCCGGGCUGAAGACCCUGCAUGACCAGCUGAGAGGAGGUGCAUGGCGUAGUCGUGU
rnacentral:rRNA from 1 species